rnacentral:lncRNA from 1 species
GCGGAGCGCAGGGUCAUGGGCGGCGGCGGCGGCGGCGGCGCGGCCCCGCUCGCACGCAGAGACCAUUGAGAUAACAAAGGAUCAUUUCCUUUGGUUCAGUGGAUAGGUAAAUAACCAGCGACAAGCAUGGAACUGACCAGAAAAAGGUGGCAUUUAAGUCCAGCUCUCACCUCAUCAUGUGCUGUCUACUGUUUAAAACUAAAGGCCUCAACUGCAAUAGAAGCAGGCGUGGCAGGAGGGAGCCUGAGCUUUCCGGUGGAACACAUGACAGCAGGGACCUGCUCCAGGUAACUGAAGGGGGCCAUGUAGAGAGGACACGCAGGAGGGCCUCUGCCAGGCUCAUAAAAAGUGGGUUCAUUGAAAGGGGGAAAUUUCACACUAUGGUUCCUUUUCUCUCCAGCGCAGCCCUCUACUUUCAGGCACACUGGUCUAGAAUAUGCUCCUUACAUUUUUCAGAAGCUUUUGUAAUUUUUCCAGAACAUAAUCUCAAACUAACAUAA